ensembl:lncRNA
UAUAUGAGGCAUGACUAAGUUGGAGCACCACUGUGAAUUGCUUCUGGUCUCACACAUGGAAAUAUAAAUGUGUUAAUCAUAGUGCCUCAUCAUCAGAGGGGUUCUUAAUACAACUCCGCUUCUUCCAAUUGUUUUUUUGUGUGCUCAGAUGGACUGCAGUUCCCCAGAAGGAGAGACUUGUUUUCGGCUGUUAUUUAACGUGGCAGCAGGCUGAGACGCAGUGCAGUCGGUGGCUCACAGAAGGUUCGCUUCUCAGGAGACUUGCCCAUGGCGUGCGGAGCUUUUCAGGAAAACAAAAGAAUCUUAUGGGAGCUAUCUUCCUCUCCACUUGUUCACUCCAGCCUGAAUGA